CACAUUCAAGUAAUUAGUUCAAGUCACAAAAGUUCACAUUCCACAUAUUAACACCUAAACAUUUUCAAGUCACUAAUUCACUUCACAAGUUACCAAACUAAACUAAAGUCAAAUGAAAAGUUCACGUUUCCAGUACCUACACUUAAACAUUUUGAAGUCACUAAUUCACUUCUCAAGUGAGCACACUUUACUAAAAUCAAAACGCAAGUUCACAUUUCAAGUACCUAAAUUCAAAACAAAAGUCACUAAUCCAUAAUUCAAGUAACUACACUUAAACAUUUCAAGUCACUAAGUCACUUCACAAAUUAUCUAACUAAACUAAAUUCGAAAUGAAAAGUUCACAUUUCAAGUACCUAACACCUAAACAUUUUCAAGUCACUAAUUCGCUUCGCAAAUUAGCAAACUAAACUUAAAUUCAAAAUGAAAAGUUCACAUUUCAAGUACCUACACCUAAACAUUUUCAAGUCACU
rnacentral:lncRNA from 1 species